GAUGAACGCUAGCUACAGGCUUAACACAUGCAAGUCGAGGGGAAACGACAUUGAAGCUUGCUUCGAUGGUCGUCGACCGGCGCACGGGUGAGUAACGCGUAUCCAAUCUGCCUCUGACCAAGGGAUAACCCGUCGAAAGUCGGCCUAAUACCUUAUGCAGUCGUCGGAAGUCAUCUGAUGACGACGAAAGAUUUCAUCGGUGAGAGAUGGGGAUGCGUCUGAUUAGCUUGUUGGCGGGGUAACGGCCCACCAAGGCAACGAUCAGUAGGGGUUCUGAGAGGAAGGUACACCACAUUGGAACUGAGACACGGUCCAAAAUCCUACGGGAGGCAGCAGUGAGGAAGAUUGGGCAAUGGGCGAGAGCCUGAACCAGCCAAGUAGCGUGCAGGAUGACGGCCCUAUGGGUUGUAAACUGCUUUUAUGCGGGGAUAAAGUGAGGGACGUGUCCUUCAUUGCAGGUACCGAAUGAAUAAGGACCGGCUAAUUCCGUG
rnacentral:rRNA from 1 species